AUGGAGGGAAGCGGCUCCGUGUGGAUGUGUAGUAUGUCUGAACAGUACUGGCGACGACUUGUUAAUGCUCACGAGGUAGAUAGAGCUUCAUACGCAGGUAAAGAGAUGUUAAUGGUUAAAGAUGGAGAUUCUGUUAACAAUUUUCCUGUUUUUCAGACUGUUUAUGGCCUGGUUUUAGUACAGGGAAGCAGGGCUAUGGUUUGGCAUUAUUAUGCAAGUUUUAUGCAGCUUGGACAAGAACAAGGCAUUAUUUGUGGACAACAAGGUUGA